GACGAACGCUGGCGGCGUGCUUAACACAUGCAAGUCGAACGGAAAGGCCCUGCUUUUGUGGUGUUCUCGAGUGGCGAACGGGUGAGUAACACGUGAGUAACCUGCUCUUCACUUUGGGAUAACUUCAGGAAACUGGGGCUAAUACCGGAUAGGAGCUCCUCCAGCAUGGUGGGGGUUGGAAAGUUUCGGCUGUCGUGGCUGGACUCGCGGCUUACCAGCUUGCUGGUGGGGUAGUUGCUUACCAAGGCUUUGACGGGUAGCCGACCUGGGAGGGUGACCGGGGACCUUGGGACUAAGAGACGGCCCAGACGGCUACGGGAGGCAGUAGUGGGGAAUCUUGCCCAAUGGGCGGAAGCGUGAGGCAGAGGCGCCGCGUGCGGGAUGACGGCCUUUGGGUAGUGAACAGCUGUCGCCUGUGACGAAGCGUGAGUGACGGUAACGGGUAAAGAAGCACCGGCUAACUACGUG
rnacentral:rRNA from 1 species